CAGACCUCAAACCUUCCUUAGGCCAAAUGGAACCCAAAGUCUCACAUGGCCAAAAUCUCAUUUGAGGCAGUCCUUGGUCUCUUGUUAGGUGGUAAGAGAUGUAUCACCUAGAAUAAACCAACAACAAAUGAACUGUGAUAUCUUCACUCAAGAUAUUUACACCUCAAGGGAGAAAACAGAACGAAUGGAACAAACCAGGGCAAGGAAAGAAACGUGUCUCUGCAUUAGCUUCAGGCCCUGGAGAAAUUCUUGUGGAGAAUGGGCAGGAGAAAACUUUGUUUACUGACAGACAGCAACCACAGCCGAAGGUACCCAAUCCUAAGAAAUUGCAGUAGAUCUGAACAAAGUGGGGUGAGUCAUUCAUGCAGCUGACUCCUAGAUUGUGUGUGUUUGAAGAUGCAGCCAGGAAGCCCAGAGACUUUUCUGAUGCUUCAUCCACCAUGACGGCAAAAUGCCGGCCAGGUCAUUACUGACCUACGGGGCAGCCUGUGCACACUGCUGUCAGUGAAGGUGCCCUGAAGUUGGACCCAGGCAGUGCCGACUUAGGUGAUGCCCAACAGUGGUCAUGUUUUAAUAUCCCUUCCUUUUUAUGACAACACUAUUUUCCGUAUACUCCUGUAGUAUUUGGUAAUCAGCAUUAUUUGUCUACAAGCAAACAAUAAUUAAGAAGAAUAAAUGUUAAUUUCUAAAACAUUAUUCAAAUUCAAUGAACUAUUUCAUGAAUGAACUG
rnacentral:lncRNA from 1 species